GUGUAUAAAAUAUGAUUUCGAGUCAGAAUCAGUUCCUGCUAUGUCUGUAAUUUCCUUGCAUGGCCAGCAGGUGUUGCUGUCCAUCCGGUUCUUUUCUGUGUUUAGUAUCUUCCACAGUCCCUAGUGUGUUCCCCUGCUCCCCUGUCGGCCAUGUGGCCAAAUGGGCUGUGCGUGUCGCUGUGAACGGAGCGAGUUCCCCAGCCAUCAUGGGACUGAGGCUAGAAAAAGGCUGUUAUACAUUAGUAGUUUCACAAUGAUAGUUUUUUUCAGUUUGUACAAACUAUUGGGUUAUGCAAGUAGAUAAAGAUGAGAUUUGGGGAAAUUAGGGGUGACUGGUAAUUAUGAAUUUCUGGGGGGUUAGGGAAUUACAAAGACGGUAACGGGUGAAGACUUGGUCCCCAGAGCUGUGGGGUUUAGAUAAAGGAAAAUUGAGAAGUGCAAAAGAGGAAGAUCAUAGAGUGCAAGAGGGCUGAUAGAACAAAGGAAGAUCAGACACACUGGAGGCAGCAUGACUGCUGAGAGCCUUGAAAAUGAAGACAUGAAUCUUGAAGUGAAUCCAAAGUUUUAUAGGGCGCAAGGGAGGUUGUGAAAAACAGGAAACGUGUGACGAUGCACCUGGGAUGUGUGAGGAGAUGGGCUGAACGUUUUGGGACCAGGUGUAGCUUGUGGGGGAACCUUGAGUUGAUGCACAAGAGGAUGGAAUUGCAGUAGCCAAGGCAGCUGAAGAUGAAGGCAUGGAUGAGAGACUUAGCAGAGGGCAGUGAGGUCUGAGUCAGUCUUUGCUGUGUAGAUGGAAAAAUGAGAUUUUCACAAUAAGAGAAGACAUGAACAUUCAGUGAAAGAGAAGGAUCCAGACUGACUCCAGAGUCACAUACCGUAGAGAUUCGCUGUUUCUUGUCCGUCAGGUAGGAGAUUAUCGAGUCCAUGGCUGUGUCUUCAAUGUCCAAGUGAGGAGGGACGCUGUCAGAGGCUGUGCUCAGGUCAAGGAGAAUGAGGAUGUUGAAGGCUCUGAAGAUAGCAGAUAUAAGAUGAUCACUGAAGACUUUAUUUAAGGCAGUUUCAGUGCUGUGGAGAAGUUGAUAGCUGGACUGAAGUUGGUAGAGCAGGUUACUGUGCUCGAAAUUGACUAGCCAAAGGACAACUGAGUGCUUUAGAGGAAAAAUGAGUGCUGUAGAAUGGACGGUAGCUAUUAAGCUUAGUGUGGUCAAGAGCAGGUUUUCAUUACAUGGACAUAAUAGCAGCAUGUUGUAGACAGAUGGAACCAUUGCAAGAGUGAUUGAUUGAUGAGGGCAGUCAGGUAAGAGCGGGGGAGGGGGAUGGGGGGAGUCAGUGGUGCUCUGAAAAGUGCUGAUUAUAUUUGAGAGCUGAGAGGACUUCAGGAGUGAGAAGAGAGAGCAGCAAUUUGGGGGGGUGGGGCUGGAGUUUGAGACAGGUGUUAGCAGGAACGUCAUUAGAGAUUUAUGAAAAGAGGAACUAAAAAUGGGUGAGAACACACCAUUUCAAGUAAUUACAUCUAUUGGGAGGGGGCUAAAGAACAUUUUAGGAGGGCUAAAGCCUCUCCCCCCCCCCCCCCCACCAAUACAGCCAUAGAGACGCCAGGGGUAGUGGCAAUGCAGUGGAGGGAUAAUUGGAGAGGAUAACAGCCAGAGACCUGGGUUACUUCAAAGAAAUCAAAGAAAGGUGCUGCAGAGAUCAACAGAGGCAGGGGGAUUGAUGCAGGAGUUCAUUAGCAGCAGUGGAGUGCAAGCAUUUCUGUCAUGCUGUUAAAGAGGCUGGUGAAAUAGGUGAUUUUAGUAGCCAGCACAGAUGUGUGAGGAGGAAAAUAAGACUGUGACUUUUUAGAAAGACAAGAGUAUCAAGAGUGUCGCACAGUACAGAAACAAACAUCGCAGCCGAAGAUGGAAGAGGGUGAGAAGACUGAGCUGCAAAAAUAGGCUGAAAAAGGACCAGCUGAUCUCCUUCAUGGAGUGGACCAGCCUUUAGACCAGCCUUCAUCAGUUCCAGGCUCCAGAAUUCCCAACCCUACAUUCUCACUUUGGACUCAUUUCGUUUUCGGCUGAAGGAGACCUGAAAGAGGUCCCAGAAACCUUCUCCAUGCCCAGGCUACUUUAGUAGCGAAAAUUAUUUCUCCAACAUGGUGUCUUGGAGGAAAGUGGUGUGCACACCUCUCAGCUUCCAUACGCCCCGGGAGCUUUUUCCAGAGAGAGAUCUUAGCACAGCAGGAGGACAAUCGCCAUUGUCACGGCUCUACCUUGAUGUAUGUGGGAAAAAUCAGACUAUGGCGAAGAACUGGACACAGGCAGACCAUCAUGACAAAGGGGCGUAUGACUGCAUGCGUGGGUGUAUGCACCCCUGCCGUGGAUUGGCAGCCCAUCCGAGGUGUGUUCCUCACCAAUCCCGGAAGCUACGGGCGCAAGGAAGGGAACAACCCAGGAUGGGGCAAAACCCUGUUGCAGGUUUGUAUAUUAAUGGUAAAAAUGGGAAGAAAAAUCUAAAGAGAAGCCUUUAAAAUAAAGCAUUUUUAAUGAAUCUAUAACAAUUGUUAUUGUAAACAUGGUUGUUUUCCUUCUACUUUAUUACAGCAACAAAAGUGUUCAAAGAAGCAAAGCGUAAAUCAAAGUCACUUAAAAGAGUCAACCUCUUUAGAUUCCAGUCUGCACUGCAUUUCAUGGAGGGAAGCUCAGAAAGGACCACAUUUAAAUAUUUCGCAGGGCUUAGAGAAAAAAUAGAUGUAGCUCUUUGUAAGACUAGCCACGUGGUGACGAGGAGCUGAGGCCUUGACAAUUAUUCAGAUAGCUCGCAUUUCCCGCACAGACAUCUUGUCACCUUUCCCUCAUCUCCAAGUUCUCAGCACAAGAAUAAAGGGCUAAUUAGCGGAAGACAAACUGCAGUGCACAUGACUUCUGAAAGCGGAGCCCAAGGACUUAGGGCAGACGUUCUAUAGCAGAUGUUGCCGCUUAGACAUAAUCAUUUGAUGGGAAUUUUCACAAGCGACAGCAGGCUGCAGCUGGGAUACAGGUGGAGACGGGGUGGGGGGGCAGGGGAGGGGGCAUGCAUUGUGGAGACCCAGCUGGUGGAAAAAGUGACAAAGCCUAGAAUCUGGGCACAGCAAAAGAAGAAGAGUGAACUAUGCAGAAUGCAGUAAAACAACACUAUGGUACAUGAGCAGUACGUGGUGGAGCGUUUGACAGACCUGAGGCCCGAGCCCUGGGCUUAAGGGAGUCUAAUCUGAUUAAACACACAGUUGUUGUGCAACCUUAUAUACGGGUAAAAUUCUGCCAAAUUGAAUGAAGAGAAGCAACGUCCCAUUUUGUCAAACCCCAAGCACUUAUGGCCAAAUAAUACAUUAUUUUAUUAGAUUACUGAUUGCACAAACGUUUGUGUGUGUAGCUAACGACCACUUUUUUAAAAACGUACAUUAACAUCUUCAUAACGCUGACUGUGUGUCUGGAGGGGAUGGACGUAAGUUAAUAUACAUUCCUUCCCCAUUAUGAUUAAGCCCUCAAGUAAGAAGGGAAAAAAAGAGAAAAGAAUAAAGCAGGAAAGAAAGAAAGAAAAACUGAGUUGAAAUUACCUCAGUUCUUGGCAGGAGCUCUAAUUAAAACCAAACUUGUUUCCUUCAGUGAACAAACAUGACAGGCACUGAACAGGCGAUGGCUUUUUCAGCUUUUGCCAAAAUAUUAAGUGAGUACAGGUGCCUGAAGAAUGUCAGUGGGUGGGGUGGUAAAGAGGUGACCGCCCCCACGAUUGGGACGAGGGGGUGUGCAGGAGCAAGACAACAGCCAGGCUGAGAUGUAAGCAGCGGUGUGAUUUUAUGUUAUUUCUUCAUGCCUUGUUCGAUGUUUUGUCUUGAUUCCCCUAACUGGACAGUCCCAUGGCCAGCGCACGCCCCUGUGUGCGCCUGGUCGCUUUUAGAUGUGUCAGCUUGGCAGCUGAACACUGUGGUCUAACAUCCGCAGAUGGUCGUGGGUUCGAUGCUCACUCAAGGCUGAGUGUGUGAAGCCUGGCAGCACUGGGCAUCAGAGGGGCUGGCUGCUCAAGCUGCAGCUACCCCCGUUGAAACCUUUACCCUCCCCCCGAAAAACACGGCCAUGA